AUAUUUGUUGCCAUUCUCCAUGGAGAGCCCAAGGAGCAACAGGGCAUCCCUACCACUACCUUUAAGCCUCCUACAACCUAUGAGGGAGUCGGGCACAUCUUCUUCGGAUAUGUCAGAUACAUAAGCUGAAGGUGAUGAAUAUGCCACAGCAGCCAGGAGUCCUGAGGGGAGUCUGGAGGAGGUGGCUGAUACUGAAUAUGAAACAGAUGAGGAUACAGAAUAUGCGGCCACAGCAGAAGAGGAGGUGGCAGCAACAGAAA